CGGUCUUUCACUUCCUUGAUUAGGUUUAUUCCUAGAUAUUUUAUUCUUUUUGAUGCAGUUGUGAAUGGAAAUGUUUUCCUGAAUACUGUUUCUGCUGGUUCAUCAUUAGUGUACAGGAAUGCAACAGAUUCCUGUGUAUUCAUUUUGUAUCCUGUAACUUUGCUGAAUUCAGAUACUAGUUCUAGUAGUUUUGGAGUGGAUUCUUCAAUGUUUUUUAUAUACGACAUCAUGUCAUCUGGAAAAAGUGACAGUUUGACUUCUUCCUUACCAAUCUGGAUGCCUUGUAUUUCUUUGUGUUAUCUGAUUGCUGUGGCUAGGACCUUCAAUCCUAUGUUGAAUAAAAGCGGGGAGAGUGGGCAUCCUUGGCUUGUUCCCAACCUUAGGGGAAAAGCUUUCAGAUUCUCGCUGUUAAGUAUAAUGUUGGCUGUGGGUUUGUCAUAUAUGGCCUUCAUUAUGUUGAGGUACUUGCCCUCUAUACCCAUUUUGUUGAGAGCUUUUAUCAUGAUGGCUGCUGAACUUUGUCGAAUGCUUUUUCAGCAUCUAUGGAGAUGAUCAUAUGGUGUUUAUCCUUCUUUUUGUUGAUGUGGUAUAUGGUGAUGAUGGAUUUUCGAAUGUUGUACCAUCCUUGCAUCCCUGAGAUGAAUCCCACUUGGUCAUGGUGUAUGAUCCUUUUGAUGUAUUUUUGAGUUCUAUUUGCAGAUAUUUUGUUGAGUAUUUUUGCAUGUAUGUUCAUCAGGGAUAUUGGUCUGUAGUUUUCUCUUUUUGUAGCAUCUUUGCUUGAUUUUGGUACUUGAGUGAUGCUGGCUUUAUAGAAUGAGUUUGGGAGUGUUCCCUCCUCUUCUAUUUUUUGGAGAACUUUAAGGAGAAUGGGUAUUAUGUCUUCUCUAAAUGUCUCACAGAAUGCAGCAGUCAAUCUAUCUGGUCCAGGUGGAUUUUGUAUUUGGAUAGUUUUUUGAUUACCAAUUCAAUUUUGUUGCUGUUGAUUGGUCUGUUUCGAUUUUAUGUUUCUUCCUUGGUCAGUCUUGGAAGAUUGUAUUUUUCUCGAAGUUGUCCAAGUCUUCUAGUUUACCCAGUUUCUUAGCAUAUUGAUUUUCGUAGUAUUCUCUAAUAAACCUUGUAUUUCUGUUGUGUCCAUAGUGAUUUUUUUCCUUUCUCAUUUCUGAUACUGUUGAUGUGUAUAGAUUCUCUUUUCCUCUUAAUAAGUCUGGCUAGGGGUUUAUCUAUUUUGUCUGUUUUCUCAAAGAACCAGCUCUUGGUUUCAUUAAUUUUUUUCUAUUUUAUUCUUCUCAAUUUUAUUUAUUUAUUCUCUUGUCUUUAUUAUUUCCCUCCUUCUGCUGACUUGGGGCCUCAUUUGUUCUUCUUUUUCCAGUUUCAAUGAUUGUGAAAUUAGACUAUUCAUUUGGGAUUGUUCUUCCUUCUUUAAAUAGGCCUGGAGUACUGUAUACUUUCCUCUUAGAACUGCUUCGCUGUGUCCCACAGAAGUUGGGUCGUUGUGCUGUUUUCAUUUGUCUCCAUAUAUUGCUUGAUCUCUGUUUCAGUUUGGUCAUUGAUCCAUUGAUUAUUUAGGAGCAUGUUGUUAAGCCUCGAUGUGUUUGUGUGCCUUUUUUGUUUUCUUUGUACAAUUUAUUUCUAGUUUUAUACCUUUGUGAUCUGAGAAGUUGGUUGGUAGAAUAUCAAUCUUUUUGAAUUUACUGAGUCUCUUUUUGUGGCCUAGUAUGUGGUCUAUUCUGGAAAAUGUUCCAUGUGCCCUUGAGAAAAAUGUGUAUCCUGCAGCUUUUGGGUGUAGAGUUCUGUAGAUGUCUGUUAGAUCCAUCAGUUCUAGGAUGUUGUUCAGUGCCUCUGUGUCCUUACUUAUUUUCUGCCUGGUUGAUCUGUCCUUUGGAGUGAGUGCUGUGUUGAAGUCUCCUAAAAUGAGUGCAUUGCAUUCUAUUUCCCCCUUGUAUCUGUUUCAUGUAUGUAGGUGCUCCUGUGUUGGGUGCAUAGAUAAUUAUAAUGGUUAUAUCCUCUUGUUCUACUGACCCCUUUAUCAUUAUGGAAUGUCGUUAUUCUCUCUCUUGUUAUAACUUUCUUUGUUUUGAAGUCUAUUUUGUCUGAUACAAGUACUGCAACUCCUUUUUUUUCUCCCUAUUGUUUGCAUGAAAUAUGUUUAUCCAUCCCUUCACUUUUAGUCUGUGUAUGUCUUUGGGUUUGAAGUGAGUCUCUUGUAGGCAGCAUAUAUCUGGGUCUUGCUUUUUUAUCCACUCUAACUCUGUGUCUUUUGGUUGGUGCAUUCAGUCCAUUAACAUUUAGAGUGAUUAUCCGUAGUUAUGUACUUAACUACCUUUGCAGGCUUUGGAUUCGUGGUUACCAAAGGGUCAAGGGCAGCAGUGCCUGCAGUGCCUGCCGCACGUCACUAGGGGGCGAAGCGGCGCAGGAAGCCGCCCCGGGCUCGCGGGCUCUGCGCGAAAGUCCAAGCGGGCGGCCUGGCGCGUUAGAAAACUGGCGAGGCGGUGGGGGCGGGGCGCGGGGCCGCGAGCCUCCUCCCCUCGGCCAAUCAGCGACCGCGGCGGGCGCCUGUGUGCAGCGCGCGCCCUGUGCGGGGCACUUAUCCUCUGCGCCGGGCGGGGAGGACGGCAGAACCGGCGUCUCCUCUGUUCCAGUCGGACUCCUCGGGAGGCGCGGCGCUGCCCGGGCGCCCUGGCUGCGGGGCUGCUGAAGGCGGUCUGACGGAAUUUCCCUGCUGACAACUUCGCCACCGCCUCCGCCCUGUCCCGCGAGGGCAGCCGCCCGAUAUCGGGCCUCCCCUCGAGCGCGUGAGGACUUGGGGCCGGAGGCAGGCGACGGCCGCCCCUCAGUAUGGCCCGCGGGGGUCCCCGCCUGGCCCCGAGCGGCGGCGGCGCGGCGGGCGACCGACUCCAAAGUUGAGCGCAGGCCGGUGGCGCUGGUGGUGGCCGCUCAUGACGCUCCAGCUGCACUUGCUCCAGGUGCUGGUUCAAGGUUGGCCCCGCCCCCACAAUUAGCCCCGCCCCAAGACCUGCCACGCCCACGUGUUCCAUCCAAUUGGUCCUGGGCUUGCACACCUUGUGGGACGCCAUCUCGCUGACGGAGCGGUAGGUCUGCAUGGUCUCCAGCUGCUCCAGACACCAGUCCAACUCCUCCAACGUCUCCCGGGCCAACUGCUGACACGUCUCCUCUGGAGAAGGGGGAGUGGGGUGGUGACUGACAGAGUCCACAGGGAGACCCCCAAAGGCCCCAGCCCAUGGUGAUUCGGGCCUGGCAGGUGCUGGGGACACAGCAGUCACCAAGAUGCACCAUGAUCCGGCCCUCACAGAGAUGACACGGGCGGUGUGGACUAUGAAGAGGCUAGCCUAGCAGCAGUGCACACCCCAAAAGCUGUGAGGUCCUCCUUAGCUUUAUUCCUCCUGACCACCCAAACCUAUUCAGAAUCUACCUGGUCCUCAGCCCAUGCUUGGUCAGCCCCUAUCAUUGCUUGCCCAGACUAGAGCAUUCGUCGCUGCCCUGGUCCCCAGCUCCUGGCUUUGCCUCUCCGUGUAGUCUGCCAAUGGUGACCAGAGGGCACCUAAGUCAGGUCACAGCCCUCCUCUGCUCAGAACUUUCUAUGGCUCCCAGCUCCCUCAAAGCUAAAGCCACAGUCCUCACUGUAGCCUGCAAGGUCCUGCCCUAUGACUUCCCAUGCCACCCCCUCACUUACUCUGCUCCAACCACAGUAGCCUCUUUGCUAUUCCCUAAACAUUCUGAUACAUUCCUGCCUCAGGGCCUUUGCACAGGCUGUUUCCCUGUGCCCAGAUCUCCAAUGGCUGUUCCCUCACCUCCUUCAGGUCACCAGCUAAAUGUCACCUCCUCAGGGAGGCCUUCCCUGACCAACCCAUUUCAAAUUUCAACCCCUGCCCUAAUAUUUUGUAUUUCCUUUCCUUAAAAAAAAAAUUCUACUUACCUGACCCAGUCUGUUUCACUUCUUUACUGUCUGCCUUUCCUUCUAAAACUAAACUCUGCAGCAAAGCAGAGUCUGCUUUGUUUGCUGCUGUGUCCCUUGGGCCAAGAACAUGGCCUGGCACACAGCAGAUGCCCAAUAAAUGUUUAUCGAAUGAAUCAUAAAAUGUACAAAUGAAUGAAUGACUAUACGGACUGGAUUGUGCUGUGCCGAGAAUUAAAACUAGGUGGAUGUCUGCAAGUUACUGGAGGAGAGACUUUAGCUGUUGUGGUUGAGGCAGGCCUCUCUGAGGAGGUGACACCUGAGCAGGGCCUGAAAGAUGAGAAGGAACAGGCCACCAGUCAGAAGGUAGGAGAAUGCCCACCAGGUGGAGGGAACACCCAAGUGCAAAGCCUGGUAGCAGGAUUCGGGUUUUGUCUGAAGCCCAGAAAGGAAGCUGGUGUGGCUGGAGUGAACAUACAGUCUAUGACAGAGACAGCUUCAGAGAGAGGGGAGACAGUGGCACCCCAGACCGGGGGCAAUGGCAGAAUGGAGACCAUCAGGAUGAGGACGGGAGACACUGACUCUGCCCCUUCCCAGCUGUAUGACUUGGGGAAAAUGACUGUAUUUCAGUUCCCUCAUCCAAAAUAUGGGGACAGCCACAACAUCCCUUCAGUCAUCUGGGUGAUCAGAGUUAACACAGGUAAAAUGCUUAGACUGGUGCCUGGCACAGAGGUCAAAAAACACUGGCAAUUGUUAAGGCUCUGGGCCCCGUAUAUUCCACUUGAGGAGUGGACACAGCAAGGCAGUCAAUAGAACUGAGGACAAGAGUGGGGAGCUGUGUGGCUUUUGGAAGUCCACUGCCCUCUCUGGCCCAUUACUCCAUUGUUAAAAUGAGCAGAUUAGACUUUAGCUAUGGUCUGAUGGGUGCAAGGGAGUGGAGGAGCAAACGCAACCCUCCCCUUUCUGGUUCUACCUAUUGAGAGCUAGCGUACAAUUUUAUUUGAAUGGUCCCUCUGCUAAGAAAUAAGUUUGAAAUCUUCCAGACCAGGACAGCAAUACCAGUUUCCAUAUAUUCAGCCAUUUUUUCUGAGCCAGUCCUGUGGUGAGGGAACAGGGAGGGAUUUCAUUGACUCCAUUUUACAGACGAAGAAACAGGUUCAGGGAGGCAAAUGAUUAGCUCUGGGUCAGAGAGCAAGGUCAUGAUGUCAGAAUUCAAACCCAAGUCAUGGGAGUCCUCAGACCAAAAUGUUAACUGCUGCCCUCUGCCUUCUCAAUCCCCAUUUGAGCACAUUCUUCCCAAUAGAGCAAAUGUUCCCAGGGGCCAGGCAGAUGCCACCCAAAGCAGAAUGGAGUGGGAGCUCUAAGAACCAAAUCUCCCAAUUUUAGGAAAGAAACUAGAAAUUUUAAAUAGCCAAAAAUUCAAACUUCUUUUAAAAACAAACUUCCAAGAACACUGUGAAAACUUCUGCUCAGCAGAAGACACCCGCAAAAGAACGAAAAGACAAGCCACAGGCUGGGAGACAAUAUAUGACAAUGGACUUGUAUCCAAAAUAUAUAAUGAAGUCUCAAAACUCAAUAAUAAGAUGACAAACAUCUCAAUUAAAGAAUGAGCAAAAGUUUUUGGACAGGUCACCAAAGAGGAUAUGCCGAUGGCCAAUAAGCACAGGUGACAUCCGUCUUCCUUUAGGAAAUGCAAAUUAAAGCCAGCAAGUAUCACUUCACACCUACUAGUGUGGCAGAAACAAACAAGAAACAAAAACUGACAGUACUAUCAACUGGUGGAAAGGAUGGGAGCAACUGGAAUGCUCACUCAUCGCCAAGUGGUAUUGCCGCUCUGGAAGACAACCAGUCAGUUUCUGAUGAAAUUAAACUCACACUUAGCGUAUAAGCCAACAAACCCACUCCUAUGUAUUUACCCAAGAUAAAUGAAACUACAUGUCCACUCAAAAACCUGCAGACAAUGGUGGGAAUGUAAACUAGUUCAACUGUUGUGGAAAGCAGUAUGGAGGUUCCUCAAAAAACUCAAAAUAGAAGUACCAUUUGACCCAGGAAUUCCACUUCUAGGAAUUUACCCUAAGAAUGCAGCAGCCCAGUUUGAAAAAGACAUAUGCACCCCUGUUUAUCACAGCACUAUUUACAAUAGCCAAGAAAUGGAAGCAACCUAAGUGUCCAUCAGUAGAUGAAUGGAUAAAGAAGAGGUGGUACAUAUACACAAUGGAAUAUUAUUCAGCCAUAAGAAGAAAAGAAAUCCUACCAUUUGCAACAACAUGGAUGGAGCUAGAGGGUAUUAUGCUCAGUGAAAUAAGCCAGGUGGAGAAAGACAAGUAUCAAAUGAUUUCACUCAUAUGUGGAGUAUAAGAACAAAGAAAAAACUGAAGGAACAAAACAGCAGCAGACUCACAGAACCCAAGAAUGGACUAACAGUUGCCAAAGGGAAAGGGCCUGGGGCAGGGAUUGGGGGUUGGGGGGUGGAAAGGGAGGGAUAAGGGGGAAAAAGGGGCGUUAUGAUUAGCACGUAUAAUGUCAGGUCGGGGGGGGUGCACGGGGUAGGCAGUAUAACACAGAGGAGACAAGUAGUGACUCUACAGCAUCUUACUACGCUGAUGGACUAUGACUGUAAUGGGGUAUGUGGGGGAGCUUGAUAAUGGGGGGAAUCUAGUAACCACAAUGUUGCUCAUGUAAUUGUAUAUUAAUGAUACAAAAAAAAAAAAAAACCUGCAGACAAAUGUUUACAGAAGUUCUGUUCAUAAUCACCAAAUCCUGGAAACAGCCAAGCCAAAUGUGCAUCACAUAGUGAGUGGAUUAAACUGUGGCAGAUCCAUACCCUCGGGUACUAUUCAGCAAUUUAAAGAAAAAGAACUACUGUGAAAUAAUGAGAAAUGUGUGAUAUAUUUGGUCUCUGCCCUGGCUUCCUGGUACACAGUUCCUGAAACCCUGGUGAUCUCCACGGUGAAAAGUGUCUCUCUGUGUAUUAAGGAGAUGCCAGCCUUCUGGGGACUCCCUGUGAGCCCCUGAAUGGGGGCUCGGUGCCAAGGAAGCCAGUGGUGUGGUGGGUGGGAUGGAACUUUCAGCUCCACUUCCACAUCUCUGGGGAGGGAUGAUGGAAUGGCGGUGGAGUUCAUUAUCAAUGCAAUGGCCAAUGAUUAAUCAGUCAUGCCUUCACAACCAAUCAUCCAUCAAAAUCCCAGAGAGCUUCCUGGUGGCUGCACAUGUCAAGGUGCUGGGAGGGUUGUGCACCCGGAGGGGCCAGAAAGGCUCCAUGUUCCUGCCCCCAUACUUUGUUCUAUGCCCUUUGCUCUUGCUUUUCCAAACAUCUGGCUGUUCCUGAGUUACAUCUUUUAUAAGAAAUUGGUGACCCAGCAGUGACUGUAAUGGGGUAUGUGGUGGGGACUUGAUAAUAGUGGGGAAUGUAGUGACCACCAUGCUGCUCAUGUGAAACCUUCAUAAGAUUGUAUAUCAGUGAUACCUUAAAAAAAAAAAAGACACCUCCCACCAAAAAAGAAAAAAGAAAUUGGUGAUCCAGUAAGUAAACUGUUUUCCUGAGUUCUGUGAACUACUCUAGCAAAUUAACUGAACCUGAGGAGAGGGUCAUGGGAAUCUGAUUCAUAGCCAGGUGGUCAGAAGCACAGGUGACGACCUGGGCUUGCAUCUGGCAUGAGAGAGAGAGUCUUGUGGAGUGAGCCCCGCACUGACUCCAGGAAGUUAGUAUCAGAACUGAAUUAGACUGUAGUCCAGCCGGUUGGCUCCACGGAGAAUUGGAGAAUUGGUUGGUGUGGGAAAAACCCACACACAUUUGGUGUUCUGCAAGAGUAGAAAAGAAACAGCGUUUUCCUUUUUAACUACUGAUCCACAAAACAACUUGGAUGAGUCUCAGAUGAAUUUUGCUGAGAGAAGGAAGCCAGUGGUGGGGAUUACAUGUGUCAAAACUCAUUAGAACUAAUAAAUGAAGUUAGCGAAGUUGCACAAUACAAAAUCAACACACAAAAAUCAGUCACUUUUCUAUACGCUAACAAUGUACAAUCUGAAAAGGAUAUCAUGGAAACGAUUCCACUUAUAUUAGCAUCAAAAUGAAAAAGAUACUUAGGAAUCCACUUAACUGGGGAGGCAAGACUCUUGUACACUGAAGAUGACAAAAUGUCGCUGAAAGAAAUUAAAGGAGACACAAAUAAAUGAAAAGAUAUCCUGUAUUCAUGGACUGGAAUAAUAAAUUAAGGCUUAAUAAUGCUAAAAUGUCAAUACUACUCAAAAUGAUCUACAGGUUCAGUGCCAUCUCUAUUGAAAUCUCUGUAAGAAUAGUCCCAAGCAGCAACAUGGAUGGAGCUGGAGGGUAUUAUGCUCAGUGAAACAAGCCAAGCGGAGAAAGAGAAAUACCAAAUGAUUUCACUUAUCUGUGGAAUAUAAGAACAAAGGAAAAACUGAAGGAACAAAACAGCAGCAGAAUCACAGAACUCAAGAAUGGACUAACAGGUAC